AUGAACGCUGGCGGCGCGCCUAAUACAUGCAAGUCGAGCGAACAGACGAGGAGCUUACUCCUCUGACGUUAGCGGCGGACGGGUGAGUAACACGUGGAUAACCUACCUAUAAGACUGGGAUAACUUCGGGAAACCGGAGCUAAUACCGGAUAAUAUUUUGAACCGCAUGGUUCAAAAGUGAAAGACGGUCUUGCUGUCACUUAUAGAUGGAUCCGCGCUGCAUUAGCUAGUUGGUAAGGUAACGGCUUACCAAGGCAACGAUGCAUAGCCGACCUGAGAGGGUGAUCGGCCACACUGGAACUGAGACACGGUCCAGACUCCUACGGGAGGCAGCAGUAGGGAAUCUUCCGCAAUGGGCGAAAGCCUGACGGAGCAACGCCGCGUGAGUGAUGAAGGUCUUCGGAUCGUAAAACUCUGUUAUUAGGGAAGAACAUAUGUGUAAGUAACUGUGCACAUCUUGACGGUACCUAAUCAGAAAGCCACGGCUAACUACGUGCCAGCAGCCGCGGUAAUACGUAGGUGGCAAGCGUUAUCCGGAAUUAUUGGGCGUAAAGCGCGCGUAGGCGGUUUUUUAAGUCUGAUGUGAAAGCCCACGGCUCAACCGUGGAGGGUCAUUGGAAACUGGAAAACUUGAGUGCAGAAGAGGAAAGUGGAAUUCCAUGUGUAGCGGUGAAAUGCGCAGAGAUAUGGAGGAACACCAGUGGCGAAGGCGACUUUCUGGUCUGUAA
rnacentral:rRNA from 1 species